AUGGCCCUGACUGAAGACCAGCAGUUAUAUAAUAGCUGUUGGUUUCAAGCAGAGGCCUAUAUGAAUGACUUCCUGUGGUUUGUUGGCAUCUCUGGAACCUCAGUAGAGAAUGACUAUUUCAUUUGGAAGAAACAACU
ensembl:snoRNA SNORA2C small nucleolar RNA SNORA2/SNORA34 family